rnacentral:rRNA from 1 species
CCCGGGCCUUGUACACACCGCCCGUCACAUCAUGGGAGUUGGUUUUACCCGAAGUCGCUGACCCAACCGCAAGGGGGGAGGUGCCUAAGGUAAGGCCGAUGACUGGGAUG